rnacentral:rRNA from 1 species
GAAAGAGGAGUGGCGGACGGGUGAGUAACACGUGGGUAACCUACCCAUCAGAGGGGGAUAACACUUGGAAACAGGUGCUAAUACCGCAUAACAGUUUAUGCCGCAUGGCAUAAGAGUGAAAGGCGCUUUCGGGUGUCGCUGAUGGAUGGACCCGCGGUGCAUUAGCUAGUUGGUGAGGUAACGGCUCACCAAGGCCACGAUGCAUAGCCGACCUGAGAGGGUGAUCGGCCACACUGGGACUGAGACACGGCCCAGACUCCUACGGGAGGCAGCAGUAGGGAAUCUUCGGCAAUGGACGAAAGUCUGACCGAGCAACGCCGCGUGAGUGAAGAAGGUUUUCGGAUCGUAAAACUCUGUUGUUAGAGAAGAACAAGGACGUUAGUAACUGAACGUCCCCUGACGGUAUCUAACCAGAAAGCCACGGCUAACUACGUGCCAGCAGCCGCGGUAAUACGUAGGUGGCAAGCGUUGUCCGGAUUUAUUGGGCGUAAAGCGAGCGCAGGCGGUUUCUUAAGUCUGAUGUGAAAGCCCCCGGCUCAACCGGGGAGGGUCAUUGGAAACUGGGAGACUUGAGUGCAGAAGAGGAGAGUGGAAUUCCAUGUGUAGCGGUGAAAUGCGUAGAUAUAUGGAGGAACACCAGUGGCGAAAGCGGCUCUCUGGUCUGUAACUGACGCUGAGGCUCGAAAGCGUGGGGAGCA